UACAGAGGGGGCAAGCGUUGUCCGGAAUUAUUGGGCGUAAAGCGCGCGCAGGUGGUUUCUUAAGUCUGAUGUGAAAGCCCACGGCUCAACCGUGGAGGGUCAUUGGAAACUGGGGAACUUGAGUGCAGAAGAGGAAAGUGGAAUUCCAAGUGUAGCGGUGAAAUGCGUAGAGAUUUGGAGGAACACCAGUGGCGAAGGCGACUUUCUGGUCUGUAACUGACACUGAGGCGCGAAAGCGUGGGGAGCAAACAGG
rnacentral:rRNA from 1 species